AAACAAUCAACAUGCAGAGUCGGUCUAUCAGAGUCUAAUUGAGUCCAGGAAAAAACACCCAAGUAACUUCGUGGUAGCAUAUAUGAAUAUAAACAGCAUAAGAUAUAGUAAUAUACUGGAUAUACCACAUGUAAAAACUACACAGUUUGGUAAGAAAAGUUUUAAAUUUGCAGCUGCUACUCUGUGGAACAGCCUACCUGACCAUUUCAGGACUGAAAACAGUUUUUCUCAAUUUAAGAGCCUUAUACAGUCUUGGAAUGGUUCAAAAUGUUGUUGUUCUGCUUGUAGAUAAGCUUUAUCAUAUUUUAGAAGUUGAUCUAACAUGUUAUUAUGCCUUAAAUUUUUGCAUGUGUGCUAUAUUUUAUUUGUGCUUAAUUUUAGUUGUGCUUAAUUUUUAGUUGUGCUUCAGCUUUGGCUUUAGAUAUGUAUUUUAAAAGUGCUUUGCAUGUAUUUCGAUAUGACUGUGCUGUUAUAUAUCCUGUCUGCAUGUUGUGUGUUUUAAUGUUGUGUUUGUGUUACCUUAUAUUCGGUAAAAAGCUCUUAAGAGCUUAUGUUUGUAUUGUUAUAUGUGAACCGAAUCAAAAUAAAACUUUCGUAUU